UACAGGGGGUGCAAACGUUGCUCGGAAUUAUUGGGCGUAAAGCGCGCGUAGGCGGCUACUUAAGUCGGAUGUGAAAGCCCUUGGCUCAACUGAGGAAGUGCACCCGAAACUGAGUGGCUUGAGUACUAAAGAGGGUCGCGGAAUUCCCGGUGUAGAGGUGAAAUUCGUAGAUAUCGGGAGGAACACCGGUGGCGAAGGCGGCUGACUGGACACAUAUUGACGCUGAGGCUCGAAAGCAUGGGGAGCAA
rnacentral:rRNA from 1 species